AUGCAUGCUGUGAAAUUUGGCUACAGAUGGAACAUAGGGGAUGGGAGCAGAACCAGGUUCUGGGAAGAUACUUGGUUUGGCACAUCCCCCCUAGCAGUCCAAUUUUGGCCUAUUUACUCUGUCCGCAGUGAGCUUAACAAAAGAGUCAAUGAAGUUUGGGACGGUCAAUGCCUAAAAACUCUCUUUUAG
rnacentral:rRNA from 1 species